GAUGAACGCUGGCGGCGUGCCUAAUACAUGCAAGUCGAGCGAACAGACGAGGAGCUUGCUCCUCUGACGUUAGCGGCGGACGGGUGAGUAACACGUGGAUAACCUACCUAUAAGACUGGGAUAACUUCGGGAAACCGGAGCUAAUACCGGAUAAUAUAUUGAACCGCAUGGUUCAAUAGUGAAAGACGGUUUUGCUGUCACUUAUAGAUGGAUCCGCGCCGCAUUAGCUAGUUGGUAAGGUAACGGCUUACCAAGGCAACGAUGCGUAGCCGACCUGAAAGGGUGGUCGGCCACACUGGAACUGAGACACGGUCCAGACGCCUACGGGAGGCAGCAGUAGGGAAUCUUCCGCAAUGGGCGAAAGCCUGACGGAGCAACGCCGCGUGAGUGAUGAAGGUCUUCGGAUCGUAAAACUCUGUUAUUAGGGAAGAACAAAUGUGUAAGUAACUAUGCACGUCUUGACGGUACCUAAUCAGAAAGCCACGGCUAACUACGUG
rnacentral:rRNA from 1 species